rnacentral:lncRNA from 1 species
GCCCUCGGGGCUGCAUGUUGGAGAGUGGCCGACAAGGGUGGAUCCCAUCACAGGGUCUGCCCCAGCUUGUGUGAGUACACAUAUGCACGUCCCCAAAGCUUUCGUGCAUUCCCGCGUGUGCUGACACUGGACAGGUUCUCGGCUCACAGCACAAGGUUCAACCUUCUUGCACUCCACCCUCAAGCAGCCUGUGUUUCAUCGGGGUAGACAGAUAAUGAACCGUAGGCAAACAGGAAGAGUCUUUGGGAGCGGCACAAGGACAACUCUUAUUUACCUGCAAUAAUGCAUGCCUGCACCAAUUCUCAGCCCCCACACUGAGCCACCAACCUGAGAGGCUUGAAGAGCCACAAAGAGGUCAUGUGAGGAUUUCUUUCUUCACUGCCUCUUCAUCUUCCAGGCUGGUGAGCACGACCUGAACCCCCUGUUCUCAUGAGUUUGUCCUUCCCCCACCCCCACCCCCACCCCCGCCACUGCCCACUGCUGCCCUCCGGGUUAAGGUGUGCUGGGCACACACCCAGAGACCUUUGCACUGCAGUUGGGAAAGUUAUUUGUCGAGAAACUUUUUGCAUCUUUCUUUUCCUCUUGCUGCGGGCUUCUGCCUACAUAACUCUGCAAACUGCAAUGCUGGUUUCCUGUAAAAGCCAAGGGCCUGAAAUAAUGGUUCCAGUGAAGAGACUCCUACGUUCUAGAGUGGCUUUCAGACCACCCAGGAGGAACUUGCCAAGGAGCUGGCCCACCACUGCUGACUUCCUGAGCUCUGGAUGCUCCUCCGCCCCCAGAACAUACAGGAACACUCAGGUGGGGAGGAGUUCUCCAGGGAGGUGGUCCCUAGGCACCGAGCCCCCUCCCACCUCCGCACUCCGGCCCCUCCCACCUCCGCACUCCUGGUCCCUCCUCCAAUCAGAGAGGCGUAGGUGGUGCUUUUCUCUCAUCUGACAUCCGUUGGGCGGGGCUUUAAGGAGCGCUCAGAGAGCCGGGCGUGCGUGUUCUAGACACAGAGGUCUGGUGUGUGACUCGCCCUUACAAAAUCUCAAGGGUUUUGAGAGCCGGCUUGAAGUGGCUUUGGCAGCAGAAGAGGGGACAGUAGAACCGCACUUGGGUUGAUUAUGGGACAAAGGAUGCAGAGGUGUUUUCCGGAGACCACAAUGCCCUCAGCCCUCACCAAGGGAGGGAGAGGCUUUAACUUUGAAUACAGUUAAAAGUUUUGGGGUUUUUGUGUGUGUGCCUUUUAGGGCCCCACCCAGGGCAUAUGGAGGUUCCCAGGCUAGGGGUCAAAUCAGAGCUACAGCUGCUGGCCUACACCACAGCCACAGCAAUGCCAGAUCCUUAACCCACUGAGCGAGGCCAGGGAUUGAACCCACAUCCUCAUGGUUCCUAGUCUGGUUCCCACUGAGCCACGAUGGGAACUCCUUAAUUAAUUUUGAUUAUUAUAUUGAAGGAUCUUGAUAUUUAUCAAAAUAAGACCAGGAGAUCACUGAGAUCACAAGACUGUUAUCCAGGAGUGAGCAGAUAAGCCGAGAGGACUGGCCAAGAUUUCAUCCAGUGGCAGCGACGAGUCCCCCACGAACAGGUUGGAAGGAGGCUGUAGAAGGUGUGAUGGGGUCGCUUAGUCAUUUCACCUACGACCUUGGGACGGCACAGUUACAGGCCUUUCAUGUCCAAAGAGGCAGGACCUACUGUUAUUUUACAGAUGAGGAAGCCGAGGUGCCAGGAUCUUGAGAGGAUAGAUUGGAGGUUUGGGGGUGGGUGGGGCUUGUGGCAGCUCCAGGAUUUCAAUAUAAGACAGACAGCCGGGUCUCUAGGCAACGGGAAGAGAUGAGACACUUGUACUGGAGCUGCUCCCAUGAUAAGCAGGCCGUUUUCCUCCUGGAUUGAUGUCUAUGCAGAGUGGCUUGGGAGGGAGGGGGCCUGUAGCCACUGGGGGUAGAGAUAAUGA